CGUCAGCUGACCCUCUGUGGAGCCUGAGCUCCACCGAGCGGACUUGUGCUUCUAGUCGGCUGUUGCUCCUGUCGUUUUGUAAAUGAUCUGCUAACGGAGAUAUAUCAGCGUAUUUACUGCAGUCUUCAUCGGCAGGCAAUCGCGUUCAGGUCAUGUUGCGUCCAAAGCAAGAGCAUCGGCGUUCUUUUAAGAAGAUGUACGGCAAUCCACGGCCGGUGCGGGCGGCGGGCUGCAACCGACGAUGUCUCAGAACGCGCGCGGUGGGCCGACAUUGCUACAUUAACUGAGCGAUGUGUCCUAAAUGUUCCCCAAAAAACAGGGAACCCACGACACACCGCCCACUCGCCCGAUCCGUAAGCCGACAAGGGCCAGACGCCCGCCGCCACUCCAGUCUACGCAUACAGCCGUCUCAACCCGGCGGCGGACGCCCGGCCCGACAACGCCACCCAGUAGCCCG